rnacentral:rRNA from 1 species
AUGUUUAGGGGAUCCAUCCGAGGCCACGCUCCGGGCUUGAAUCGUAAUAGAGAAAGCAGCCAUUGCCUACUCUACGACGAUUAUUUCGAGCUCACAAGCCCACUUUUCAAUGCCAAGCUUUUCCCGCAACGCUUCCGAAUGGUGAGACAUGUGUUCAACCGUCUUGGGGGGGGGGAUGCCCUUGGGAAGGUUGGCUUCUCUUAUCAAAAAUGUACUGCAGCUGUUCGGAUGCUUGCAUACGGCAUUCGCGGUGAUGGCAUUUUACAGGUUCUGCAAAGCUGUGGUUGCAUUGUUUGGCAAGGAGUACUUAGAGAACCAAAUGCUACGGAUACAACUCGGUUGUUAGCAAUCAAUGAAUCGAGAGGCUUUCUGGGGAUGCUUGGAAGCAUAGAUAGUAUGCACUGGGCGUGGAAGAACUGUCCAUUUGCUUGGCAGGGGCAAUAUAAGAGACAUUUUAAGGCUUGCACGGUCAUACUUGAAGCUGUGCUAUCACAAGAUCUCUGGAUUUGGCACUCUUCUUUUUGGCAUGGCAGGUUCUCACAAUGA